CCAGACUCCUACGGGAGGCAGCAGUGGGGAAUAUUGCACAAUGGGGGAAACCCUGAUGCAGCGACGCCGCGUGAAGGAAGAAGUAUUUCGGUAUGUAAACUUCUAUCAGCAGGGAAGAAAGUGACGGUACCUGACUAAGAAGCCCCGGCUAACUACGUGCCAGCAGCCGCGGUAAUACGUAGGGGGCAAGCGUUAUCCGGAUUUACUGGGUGUAAAGGGAGCGCAGGCGGCACGGCAAGCCUGAUGUGAAAGCCCGCGGCCCAACCGCGGGACUGCAUUGGGAACUACCGGGCUGGAGUGCUGGAGAGGUAGGCGGAAUUCCUAGUGUAGCGGUGAAAUGCGUAGAUAUUAGGAGGAACACCAGUGGCGAAGGCGGCCUACUGGACGGUGACUGACGCUGAGGCUCGACAGCGUGGGGAGCAAACAGGAUUAGAUACCCGGGUA
rnacentral:rRNA from 1 species